rnacentral:rRNA from 1 species
CUAUGCUAAUUCCACCAAUUAACCAAAACCCUUAACCAAUACUGAAUGACUCCAUAAACAUAUGGAAUACUAUAUGCUAGAACUAGUAAUAAGAAGAAGACCUUCUCCAAAAUAUAAGUGUGAGCCGAAAUGAACAAUUCACCGGCAUUUAACGCAACUGAACUAAUAGUAGUAACUAAAACAAGAAAACCCUACUACAUGCUGCGUCAACCUUACACUAGAAUAUUCCAGGAAAGAUUAAAAGAAAAGGAAGGAACUCGGCAAACCUAAUAACCCCGCCUGUUUACCAAAAACAUCGCCUCUUGCAAAAAUAUAAGAGGUCCAGCCUGCCCAGUGACAAAGUUAAACGGCCGCGGUACCCUAACCGUGCGAAGGUAGCGCAAUCACUUGUUCUUUAAAUGAGGACUAGUAUGAAUGGCAUCACGAGGGUUACACUGUCUCCCUUUUCCAAUCAAUGAAACUGACCUCCCCGUGAAGAGGCGGGGAUAAAACUAUAAGACGAGAAGACCCCAUGGAGCUUUAAACUCAGUAUCAACUAUCUAACUAUAU